rnacentral:rRNA from 1 species
GUACAAUACUUAGUGGCAGACGGGUGAGUAACAUGUAGGUAUCUGCCCUUUGGCCUGGAAUAACACGAGGAAACUUGUGCUAAUACUGGAUAAGUCUUUACGGAGAAAGCUUUAUGCACCAUUGGAUGAGCCUGCACUUGAUUAGUUUGUUGGUGGGGUAAUGGCCUACCAAGACUGUGAUCAAUAGCUGAUUUGAGAGGAUGACCAGCCACAUUGGGACUGAGACACGGCCCAAACUCCUACGGGAGGCAGCAGUGGGGAAUCUUGCGCAAUGGAGGAAACUCUGAUGCAGCGAUGCCGCGUGAGUGAAGAAGGCCCUUGGGUUGUAAAGCUCUUUCGUCGGGGAAGAAAGUGACUGUACCCGAAUAAGAAGGUCCGGCUAACUUCGUGCCAGCAGCCGCGGUAAUACGAAGGGACCUAGCGUAGUUCGGAAUUACUGGGCUUAAAGAGUUCGUAGGUGGUUGAAAAAGUUGGUGGUGAAAUCCCAGAGCUUAACUCUGGAACUGCCAUCAAAACUUUUCAGCUAGAGUAUGAUAGAGGAAAGUAGAAUUUCUAGUGUAGAGGUGAAAUUCGUAGAUAUUAGAAAGAAUACCGAUUGCGAAGGCAGCUUUCUGGAUCAUUACUGACACUGAGGAACGAAAGCAUGGGUAGCGAAGAGGAUUAGAUACCCUCGUAGUCCAUGCCGUAAACGAUGUGUGUUAGACGUUGGAAAUUUAUUUUCAGUGUCGCAGCGAAAGCGAUAAACACACCGCCUGGGGAGUA